rfam:Lactobacillus shenzhenensis LY-73 genomic scaffold LY73.Scaffold39, whole genome shotgun sequence.
GGUUAUCACGCCUGCCUGUCACGCAGGAGAUCACCGGUUCAAAUCCGGUUGGGACCG